GACGAACGUUGGCGGCGUGCUUAACACAUGCAAGUCGAACGGAAAGGCCCUGCUUUUGUGGGGUGCUCGAGUGGCGAACGGGUGAGUAACACGUGAGUAACCUGCCCUUGACUUUGGGAUAACUUCAGGAAACUGGGGCUAAUACCGGAUAGGAGCUCCUGCUGCAUGGUGGGGGUUGGAAAGUUUCGGCGGUUGGGGAUGGACUCGCGGCUUAUCAGCUUGUUGGUGGGGUAGUGGCUUACCAAGGCUUUGACGGGUAGCCGGCCUGAGAGGGUGACCGGCCACAUUGGGACUGAGAUACGGCCCAGACUCCUACGGGAGGCAGCAGUGGGGAAUAUUGCACAAUGGGCGGAAGCCUGAUGCAGCGACGCCGCGUGCGGGAUGACGGCCUUCGGGUUGUAAACCGCUUUCGCCUGUGACGAAGCGUGAGUGACGGUAAUGGGUAAAGAAGCACCGGCUAACUACGUGCCAGCAGCCGCGGUGAUACGUAGGGUGCGAGCGUUGUCCGGAUUUAUUGGGCGUAAAGGGCUCGUAGGUGGUUGAUCGCGUCGGAAGUGUAAUCUUGGGGCUUAACCCUGAGCGUGCUUUCGAUACGGGUUGACUUGAGGAAGGUAGGGGAGAAUGGAAUUCCUGGUGGAGCGGUGGAAUGCGCAGAUAUCAGGAGGAACACCAGUGGCGAAGGCGGUUCUCUGGGCCUUUCCUGACGCUGAGGAGCGAAAGCGUGGGGAGCGAACAGGCUUAGAUACCCUGGUAGUCCACGCUGUAAACGGUGGGUACUAGGUGUGGGGUCCAUUCCACGGGUUCCGUGCCGUAGCUAACGCUUUAAGUACCCCGCCUGGGGAGUACGGCCGCAAGGCUAAAACUCAAAGGAAUUGACGGGGCCCCGCACAAGCGGCGGAGCAUGCGGAUUAAUUCGAUGCAACGCGUAGAACCUUACCUGGGUUUGACAUGGAUCGGGAGUGCUCAGAGAUGGGUGUGCCUCUUUUGGGGUCGGUUCACAGGUGGUGCAUGCCUGUCGUCAGCUCGUGUCGUGAGAUGUUGGGUUAAGUCCCGCAACGAGCGCAACCCUUGUUCACUGUUGCCAGCACGUUAUGGUGGGGACUCAGUGGAGACCGCCGGGGUCAACUCGGAGGAAGGUGGGGAUGACGUCAAGUCCUCAUGCCCCUUAUGUCCAGGGCUUCACGCAUGCUACAAUGGCUGGUACAGAGAGUGGCGAGCCUGUGAGGGUGAGCGAAUCUCGGAAAGCCGGUCUCAGUUCGGAUUGGGGUCUGCAACUCGACCUCAUGAAGUCGGAGUCGCUAGUAAUCGCAGAUCAGCAACGCUGCGGUGAAUACGUUCCCGGG
rnacentral:rRNA from 1 species